GAUGAACGCUGGCGGCGUGCCUAAUACAUGCAAGUCGAGCGAACAGACGAGGAGCUUGCUCCUCUGACGUUAGCGGCGGACGGGUGAGUAACACGUGGAUCACCUACCUAUAAGACUGGGAUAACUUCGGGAAACCGGAGCUUAUACCGGAUAAUAUAUUGCACCGCGUGGUUCAAUAGUGAAAGUCGGUUUUGCUGUCACUUAUAGCUGGAUCCGCGCCGCAUUAGCUAGUUGGUGAGGUACCGGCUUACCAAGGCGAGGAUGCGUAGCCGACCUGAGAGGGUGGUCGGCCACACUGGAACGGAGACACGGUCCAGACUCCUACGGGAGGCAGCAGUAGGGAAUCUUCCGCAAUGGGGGAAAGCCUGACGGAGCAACGCCGCGUGAGUGAUGAAGGUCUUCGGAUCGUAAAACUCUGUUAUUAGGGAAGAACAAAUGUGUAAGUAACUAUGCACGUCUUGACGGUACCGAAUCAGAAAGCCACGGCUAACUACGUG
rnacentral:rRNA from 1 species